rnacentral:rRNA from 1 species
ACUCAAAGGAAUUGACGGGUCCCCGCACAAGCGGCGGAGCAUGCGGCUUAAUUCGAUGCAACCCGAAGAACCUUACCUAGGUUUGACAUCAUGGGAAAAGCUGUAGAAAUACGGUGUCCGAAAGGGCCCAUGACAGGUGGUGCAUGGCUGUCGUCAGCUCGUGUCGUGAGAUGUUGGGUUAAGUCCCGCAACGAGCGCAACCCUUGUCCUAUGUUGCCAGCGGUUCGGCCGGGGACUCAUAGGAGACUGCCGGGGACAACUCGGAGGAAGGUGAGGACGACGUCAAGUCAUCAUGCCCCUUACACCUAGGGCUGCACGCAUGCUACAAUGGUCGGUACAACGGGCUGCAAUCCAGCGAUGGUGAGCGAAUCCCUCAAAACCGGCCUCAGUUCGGAUUGGAGUCUGCAACUCGACUCCAUGAAGUCGGAGUCGCUAGUAAUCGCGGAUCAGCAAAGCCGCGGUGAAUGCGUUCUCGGGGAUUGCACACACCGCCCGU